rnacentral:rRNA from 1 species
UGAGGAAUAUUGGUCAAUGGGCGUAAGCCUGAACCAGCCAAGUCGCGUGAGGGAUGAAGGUUCUAUGGAUCGUAAACCUCUUUUAUAAGGGAAUAAAAGUGCGGGACGUGUCCUGUUUUGUAUGUACCUUAUGAAUAAGGAUCGGCUAACUCCGUGCCAGCAGCCGCGGUAAUACGGAGGAUCCGAGCGUUAUCCGGAUUUAUUGGGUUUAAAAGGGUGCGUAGGCGGCCUUUUUAAAGUCAGCGGUGAAAAGUCUGUGGCUCAAACCAUAGAAUUGCCGUUGAAAACUGGGAGGCUUGAGUAUGUUUGAGGCAGGCGGAAUGCGUGGUGUAGCGGUGAAAAUGCUUAGAUAUCACGCAGAAACCCCGAUUGCGAAAGGCAGCCUGCCAAAGCCAUGACUGACGCUGAUGCACGAAAAGCGUGGGGAAUCAAAACAAGGAUUAGAUACC